rnacentral:rRNA from 1 species
AUGGCGAGAGCCAUGAGCAUGGUGGACCUGCUGGUGACGUGGCGGUGGUGGCACCCUCCCGGCCGGUGGGACGGCAUCGACGAGAUCAUCCUCGUCGGCGGCAGCGUGAGAAUCCCCGAGAUUCUUGAGCUUUUCAGGGACUAUUUCCAUGGCCGGGAACCAAUUGUGGAGGAAGAAGCGGCGAUUCGCGGCGCUGCUCUGCUCUCCCGUCCCGAGUAUGCAAUGUUCACAUACGAUAACUACGAUAGUUACUACUGCCGUGGAAGUCCUUUGCAGGCGUCUGAAAAUAAAAUUGGAUAG